GAAAUGCGAUAAGUAGUGUGAAUUGCAGAAUUCAGUGAAUCAUCGAAUCUUUGAACGCACAUUGCGCCCCUUGGUAUUCCAUGGGGCAUGCCUGUUCGAGCGUCAUCUACACCCUCAAGCUCUGCUUGGUGUUGGGCGUCUGUCCCGCCCCCGCGCGUGGACUCGCCCCAAAUCUAUUGGCAGCGUUCCUUGCCCCCUCUCGCGCAGCACAUUGCGCUUCUCGAGGGCGGCUCCGGGACGCGAUCCAGCAAGAUGACCACCGUCUUUGACCUCGGAUCAGGUAGGGAUACCCGCUGAACUUAAGC
rnacentral:misc_RNA from 1 species